rnacentral:rRNA from 1 species
CCUACGGGCGGCAGCAGUGAGGAAUCUUGGUCAAUGGACGAGAGUCUGAACCAGCCAAGUAGCGUGAAGGAUGACUGCCCUAUGGGUUGUAAACUUCUUUUAUAUGGGAAUAAAAUGUUCCACGUGUGGGAUUUUGUAUGUACCAUAUGAAUAAGGAUCGGCUAACUCCGUGCCAGCAGCCGCGGUAAUACGGAGGAUCCGAGCGUUAUCCGGAUUUAUUGGGUUUAAAGGGAGCGUAGGUGGAUUGUUAAGUCAGUUGUGAAAGUUUGCGGCUCAACCGUAAAAUUGCAGUUGAAACUGGCAGUCGUGAGUACAGUAGAGGUGGGCGGAAUUCGUGGUGUAGCGGUGAAAUGCUUAGAUAUCACGAAGAACUCCGAUUGCGAAGGCAGCUCACUGGACUGCAACUGACACUGAGGCUCGAAAGUGUGGGUAUCAAACAGGAUUAGAUACCCCAGUAGUC